ACGCUCGACACCUACGGGAGGCAGCAGUGGGGAAUAUUGGGCAAUGGGCGCAAGCCUGACCCAGCAACGCCGCGUGAAGGAAGAAGGCUUUCGGGUUGUAAACUUCUUUUAUUAAGGACGAAGCAAUGACGGUACUUAAUGAAUAAGCUCCGGCUAACUACGUGCCGGCAGCCGNGGUAAUCUGAGGCGGGCGUGGCAAGGC
rnacentral:rRNA from 1 species